rnacentral:rRNA from 1 species
UACGUAGGGUGCAAGCGUUAAUCGGAAUUGCUGGGCGUAAAGCGUGCGCAGGCGGUUUUGUAAGUCUGCCGUGAAAUCCCCGGGCUCAACCUGGGAAUUGCGAUGGAGACUGCAAGGCUAGAAUCUGGCAGAGGGGGGUAGAAUUCCACGUGUAGCAGUGAAAUGCGUAGAGAUGUGGAGGAACACCGAUGGCGAAGGCAGCCCCCUGGGUCAAGAUUGACGCUCAUGCACGAAAGCGUGGGGAGCAAACAGG